rnacentral:rRNA from 1 species
CUAUCAAGUUCAUGGCAGAGUAGCCAAGCCGGGACGGGAUAAACGCUGAAGGCAUCUAAGCGUGAAGCCCCCCUCAAGAUGAGAUAUCCCAUACGCAAGUAGUAAGACCCCUUGAAGACGACGAGGUAGAUAGGGCAGAGGUGGAAGCGUAGUAAUACGUGAAGCUGACUGUUACUAAUCGGUCGAGGGCUUAACCAAAA